AUCAGAAGUCAUAUGGAGUCUUUAUUACAAAGGAAAAUCCUGGGCCUACUACAGACUCAGACUCCCUAGCAAGUGGAAGUUAUACUUUUAUGCUCCUCGCUCCAAACUGGAUUUUAGCUAAAUUAUAGAAAAAUCAACCUGAAUAACCAACUGAUGGCUAGCAGAACUGAAAUAUUAUAAUCAAGGACUUACAGAAGAAACCACAUAGAGACUGGGGAAAUGGAGUUGAAGACUCUGGCAAAGACUGAGUGGUUGGACUCU